rnacentral:tRNA from 1 species
GCCUAGCUGGCUCAGUAGAAAGAGUAUGUGACUCUUGAUCUCAGGGUCAUGAGUUCAAGUCCCACGCUGGGUG